rnacentral:rRNA from 1 species
AUUGAACGCUGGCGGCAUGCCUUACACAUGCAAGUCGAACGGCAGCACGGGAGCAAUCCUGGUGGCGAGUGGCGAACGGGUGAGUAAUAUAUCGGAACGUGCCCAGUCGCGGGGGAUAACUACUCGAAAGAGUGGCUAAUACCGCAUACGAUCUACGGAUGAAAGCGGGGGAUCGCCAGACCUCGCGCGCUUGGAGCGGCCGAUAUCAGAUUAGGUAGUUGGAAGGGUAAAAGCCUACCAAGCCUGCGAUCUGUAGCUGGUCUGAGAGGGCGACCAGCCACACUGGAACUGAGACACGGUCCAGACUCCGACGGGAGGCAGCAGUGGGGAAUUUUGGACAAUGGGCGCAAGCCUGAUCCAGCAAUGCCGCGUGCAGGACGAAGGCCUUCGGGUUGUAAACUGCUUUUGUACGGAGCGAAAAGGUCUCUACUAAUACUAGGGGCUCAUGACGGUACCGUAAGAAUAAGCACCGGCUAACUACGUGCCAGCAGCCGCCG